AGAGAGAGAGAGAGAGAGAGAGGGGAGAGAGAAGAAGAAGAAGAAUCACAGUAAGUGAGGCUAUUUGAAGUCUCAUUUGUGGUAGUUGUGCGUCUAGAUUCCUGAAUAAUGGUCCUUCACUUUUGUCUCUGUAUUUGUUCAAACAUGUUCUUAUGUUGUGGUCUGUUAUGUCUCUCUAGACAUUAUGUUGUAAGAAUUUGUUAAAUAUGUUCCGAUGCUUUGGGCUGUUAUGUCUCUUUAGACUCAUGUCUCUGAAUUUGUUCAUUAUCAUAUGUUCUUAUUUCAUGGCCAGUUUUCCUUCUCAUGCUCUAAUGUCCUCCAGGUUGAGAUCAACUUGAGCUUUGGUCUUCGGUUAAAAAUCUUAACUAUAAUACAGGAAUCUCUUAUUAUUGUAGGUAAUUUUAGCUUUAUUUAAGAAAUUACAGUGAAAGUUGCUGGAGCUGCUGCCAUGGAUUUUGUGUCCAAUAAAUUGAAAGAAGAAAUAAAUGGCUGGGAGUUCUUGCAAUGCAUCCAAGUGCAAGAUAUGCACUUUAUGUUAUAAACCUAGAGAGACCAUGUGAAGGCCCGAGAAGAGUGUGAUUUCCAUGUGCAGUGAUUCCACAUGGAAACCUUCUGAACCAUGUGAGGUGAAUUUGAGUAACAAGAUGGUUGGCAACAUCAUUUCAAUUUUUCUUGAAUUAUUGGGCUUUGAUGAUUUAAUUGGUUUCAAAAGUGAUGUGGAAAAAGAAUGUCAUGAUAUUGAUGAGCCACGCUUGUGGUAUGGGGGGAGAAUUGGGUUCAAAGAUGAUGAGAUUUGAAGAGAAGACAGCCCUCAUGACUGCUACCAUGUUUGGGAAGCAAGGGUGUGUUGAGUUAUAUACUGGAAACCAGUUGCGUUGAUGUUAACAAGGCUUGUGGUUUGGAUGAGCUUCUGUACUUCAUUUUGUUGCUGAUGUGGACUUUGAUAUUUCAACUGAGGUUAUUUAGCUUUUGCUUGAAGCUUCUGCACUUCCUUCUGUCUGGUUGCAUACUAUUGAGUAUGUACAGUACACCUUGUUCAUUUUAUAAUUUUUAUUCUUGCUAUUUCUUUGCCCUGUAGUAAUUGUAUUUAAAUAAUUUUAUGUAAUAGAACAUGUAUAUAUUAGGUGUGGAUGUUGGAUUCUAUAAAUCAUGUAUCCUUGAUAUGGACUGUAACAUAUAUAUAUAUAUAUAUAUAUAUAUUUUAAUGAA